rnacentral:rRNA from 1 species
UACAGAGGAGCCAAGCGUUGUCCGGAAUUACUGGGCGUAAAGAGCUCGUAGGUGGUUUGUCGCGUUGUCCGUGAAAACUCACAACUCAAUUGUGGGCGUGCGGGCGAUACGGGCAGACUGGAGUACUGCAGGGGAGACUGGAAUUCCUGGUGUAGCGGUGGAAUGCGCAGAUAUCAGGAGGAACACCGGUGGCGAAGGCGGCAUCCUGGACCGGUAUUGACACUGAUGAGCGAAAGCUAGGGGAGCAAACGGG